AGAGUUUGAUCAUGGCUCAGAACGAACGCUGGCGGCGUGGAUAAGACAUGCAAGUCGAGCGCUGAUUACAGGGUAGCAAUAUUCUGUAGUCGGAGCGGCGCAAGGGUGCGUAACACGUGGGUAAUCUGCCAUGAAGUUUGGAAUAACUCGCUGAAAGGCGAGCUAAUGCCGGAUGUGAAAACUGGGAGGCAUCUCUCGGUUUUCAAAGCUGGGGACCGUAAGGCCUGGCGCUUCAUGAUGAGCCCGCGGCCUAUCAGCUAGUUGGUAAGGUAACGGCUUACCAAGGCUAAGACGGGUAGCUGGUCUGAGAGGACGACCAGCCACACUGGAACUGAGACACGGUCCAGACACCUACGGGUGGCAGCAGUCGAGAAUUUUUCACAAUGGGCGCAAGCCUGAUGGAGCGACGCCGCGUGGGGGAUGAAUGGCUUCGGCCCGUAAACCCCUGUCAUUUGCGAUCAACCGUUGUUAUUUAAAAGAUGACAACCUGAUAGUAGCGAAAGAGGAAGGGACGGCUAACUCUGUGCCAGCAGCCGCGGUAAUACAGAGGUCCCAAGCGUUGUUCGGAUUCACUGGGCGUAAAGGGUGCGUAGGUGGCGAAGUAAGUCGGAUGUGAAAUCUCCGAGCUCAACUCGGAAACUGCAUUGGAAACUACUUUGCUCGAGGGUUGGAGGGGGGACUGGAAUACUUGGUGUAGCAGUGAAAUGCGUAGAUAUCAAGUGGAACACCAGUGGCGAAGGCGAGUCCCUGGACAACUCCUGACACUGAGGCACGAAAGCUAGGGGAGCAAACAGGAUUAGAUACCCUAGUAGUCC
rnacentral:rRNA from 1 species